UUCGUAGGUGGCCACUUAAGUCAGACGUGAAAUCCCUCAGCUUAACUGGGGAACUGCGUCUGAUACUGAGUGGCUUGAGUGCAGGAGAGGGAUGCGGAAUUCCAGGUGUAGCGGUGAAAUGCGCAGAUAUCUGGAGGAACACCGGUGGCGAAGGCGGCAUCCUGGACUGUAACUGACACUGAGGAACGAAAGCCAGGGGAGCAAACG
rnacentral:rRNA from 1 species